UACGUAGGUGGCGAGCGUUAUCCGGAUUUACUGGGUGUAAAGGGCGUGUAGGCGGGUUUGCAAGUCGGGUGUGAAAUAUCCAGGCUUAACUUGGAGAGGUCAUCCGAAACUGCAGAUCUUGAGUGCUGGAGAGGAUAGUGGGAUUCCUGGUGUAGCGGUAAAAUGCGUAGAUAUCAGGAGUAAUACCGAAGGCGAAGGCAGUCUUCCAAGCCGUUAUUGACGCUCAACUGCGAAGGUGUGGGUAUCAAACAGGAUUAGAUACCCUGGUA
rnacentral:rRNA from 1 species